rnacentral:rRNA from 1 species
ACCAGGUCUUGACAUCCCGAUGCUAUUCUAGAGAUAGAAAGUUACUUCGGUACAUCGGUGACAGGUGGUGCAUGGUUGUCGUCAGCUCGUGUCGUGAGAUGUUGGGUUAAGUCCCGCAACGAGCGCAACCCUUGUCUUUAAUUGCCAUCAUUGAGUUGGGCACUUUAAAGAGACUGCCGGUGUUAAACCGGAGGAAGGUGGGGAUGACGUCAAGUCCUCAUGGCCUUUAUGCCCAGGGCUACACACGUGCUACAAUGGGUGGUACAAAGAGCAGCCAGCUCGCGAGAGUGAGCAAAUCUCAAAAAGCCAUCCUCAGUUCGGAUUGGAGUCUGCAACUCGACUCCAUGAAGUUGGAAUCGCUAGUAAUCGCGGAUCAGCAUGCCGCGGUGAAUACGUUCCCGGGCCUU